rnacentral:rRNA from 1 species
AGCGGCAGGCUUAUACAUGCAAGUCGAGGGGGAUUAGCUGGGUAGCAAUACUCGGCUAUGAGACCGGCAAACGGGUGCGGAACACGUACGCAACCUUCCCAAAACUGGUGAAUAGCCCUCCGAAAGGAGGAUUAAUGCACCGUAACAUAUAGAGAUGGCAUCAUUUUUAUAUUAUAGCUACGGCGGUUUUGGAUGGGCGUGCGCCUGAUUAGGUAGUUGGUGAGGGUAACGGCCCACCAAGCCUUCGAUCAGUAACUGGUGUGAGAGCACGACCAGUCACACGGGCACUGAGACACGGGCCCGACUCCUACGGGAGGCAGCAGUAAGGAAUAUUGGUCAAUGGACGCAAGUCUGAACCAGCCAUGCCGCGUGAAGGAUGACGGCCCUCUGGGUUGUAAACUUCUUUUAUCUGGGACGAAAAAAGGGCUUUCUAGCUCGACUGACGGUACCAGAGGAAUAAGCACCGGCUAACUCCGUGCCAGCAGCCGCGGUAAUACGGAGGGUGCAAGCGUUAUCCGGAUUUACUGGGUUUAAAGGGUGCGUAGGUGGGUCUGUAAGUCAGUGGUGAAAUCUCCGAGCUUAACUCGGAAACUGCCAUUGAUACUAUAGGUCUUGAAUUAUCUGGAGGUAAGCGGAAUAUGUCAUGUAGCGGUGAAAU